AUGCCUCUCUCUCUGGAUGGCAGUGUCCUUCCAGAGGACACUGGCAAGGAUGUGUGGAACCUGCCUGCAGCAUCCUCGGCAUGUGGCAGAGGGCCUGGCCCAGUGACGGGUUUGAUGCUCGCGGGGGAUCUCGGCUAUUUGGAGGAUCCGCAGUAUGCUGCUUCAGAGAGAUCCCCGACCUCAGACGGAUGCGGCCAGGCGCCCGCUGUCCCUGCUCACUCACCAGCGGGUCGCAGGACGGGCCCUCACGCCUCCAGCGGAGCCGAAGUGAAGAGUGUCUGUCGAGCCCAGAAGCAUGAGGUGCCAGAGAGUGGCCGUGGCAGCACCCUGGGGGCGGGUGGUGUCCGGGCCCGGCCACAGCUUCCAGGCCACGCAGAUCAGAGUGUGGAGCCCAGCUCUGCCCACAGCCCAGCUUCCUAAUCUGAGUUACAAGGUGGCCCUCGGGUGCUUGUGAGAAGACACUGAACCACAGCCCACUUGACAUGCUCAAUAUUAAUGAGUGGUAUUCGUACUAACGAUGGCUAGUCCGCGGCUGGCCACACAGAACCUGCAGUGAGCUACAUUUGGGGCAUUUCAGGAACGUAGCAAACGCUGGCAGAGACGCGGUCACCAGCUGCCAGGGAGGAGGGUUGCUUUGACGCCUUUGACCACCGUCUUCUUGUCUGCAAAAUGCCACCGUCCCUGGGCAUGGGCAGACCCCGGGCACUAACACCCAGCAGACAUGGGUCCUGUGGCCCGGAGCUUGCAGCCCAGGGGCAACAAUUGGCUCUGUCUCGGCCACCUGUCUCUUGGUUGAGGCUCGGGACUGUGGGAGCAGAGGAGGUCGCCCCCGCAAGACUUGGGGAGGCACCAUCUCCCCCCACCUUCCCAUGUGCUCUCGCCUGCCCACCACCCACCCACUGCCCACCCCACGCUCCCCACCGCUGAACCCUGGCACUCAGACAUCCUUCUGCUCCCCAGUCCCUUGUCCCUCUUCUGCCUGGAGAACACCAGUGAUACCUGCCUUGUCACCAUACCUCACCUCCGUCAAACCCAGUCUGACUCCACUCCUGGAGGAGGCUCACCGGCUCAGAACAGGGGCCCCUGCUGUGUGGGGCUCACAGCCUGGAGUACCCUCCCUCCUACAGCUGCACACACGGCACCUGUGCACCCCUCAACCCCACUGGGCCUUACACACCUCAUGCCCUCCACCACUUACCCUCCCACCCCACCUCAGUCCACAAGAUCUGUCCUGACUCGAGUCCUGAAGCAGACACCCCAUCCCACCCCCGCCUUGGUCCUGUGGGUGGGGUGGGGUACUGGGGGGUCCUAACCCAGCCAUCCCCAGACUUUCAUAGGUCUGCAUGGAACCCUCCUUAACCCAGGGCCAGCAAUGUAUCCCAGGAUUGAGCAUAAACCCAAUCCACAGAGGGUCCUCAUCAAAUGUGUGAUGAAUGAAUAAACAAAUGAUCCUGGUGCCGACUCAGUCUAGGACUAGGGCUCUCCUGACCUCAGCACAGGUGUUUGGGACCAUGGAUGAGUACAGCAGGGCCUGGGCUGUGCCUUUGGGGAAGAGUGUGUCCAUGCACCCUGGCACACAGGGAGGUUGGGGUAUAGAAGCAGAAGGGGAUAGAGCUGGAAGUCCCCAAGACAGACCAGACAGGAGAAAGGCACGGGGCCCCAGCAGGUGCAGGCGGCUGUGUUCCCAGGGAGACCUGGCCAUCCUGGCUGCCGGGUGUCCCCCCUCCUCCCAGGCGCCCACCUGACAUCACCACAUUGCGUGCUCCUUGCACUGUUUGCCGGCCCUCGUCCAUCUCGCCCAUUGCUCCUUGCCUGGACCCCUGCUAGGGAUGGCGCCGCUGCUCAGCACACUCGAGAGAAGGAACCAGCGCGGACGCAGCGGUCGGGGUCCCAGGCAGGCGGGCUCAGGAGCCGCUUGCUUUGAGGCAUGAACCAGCCGAGUAGAGGUUGGUUCCCUGUCUCCUCCACCUCCGUGCCAGUCCAACAUCUGUGCUGGGACCAGAACAAGUGGCCUUCCCCUUCAGGAGAUACGGGAACGCACAGGUGGCACGGGCCGGAGUUGCUGUGACAAAGUGGUCACUUCAGGGAGCCUGUCCUGAUGCCCAGAUGCCAUUUGUCUCAGCCGUUGGCCAGGGGUGGGGACCUUCGUGCCACUAACCAUCUGCAGCCAGGGUCCCUCUGUGCGGAGGUGGGGGACAGGGCACCCUUCGUGGCGACCUCUUUACGGCUUCGCCUGCAUCCCACAGCUGCCACACAGGCCGGCUGCCCCUUCCAGCUCCUGGGCACCCCGUAUUCCUGGGCCUGGGGCCACGUCCCCCGAUCUCUGCCUCUGCCGUGGCGCGGCCGAUCCCUCUGUGUCUGCGGCUCUCCUCUUCUUAUAGGAACACCAGCCCUCAGACACAGGCCACCCUGACCCAGAAUGAGCUCAUCUCAAGAUCCUUAAGGAGUUACAUCCACAAAGACCCUGUGGCCAAAUGAGGUCACUUUCUAGACUCCGGAUGGACGUGAAUUUGGGGGACACUCUAUGCCCACACCCUGGACCCCUGAAGCGCUGGUCACAGAGUGGCUGCUCACCAAACUGUCAGAAUUAGGGUCAGGAUGAUGAGGUCUGAGGAGCUCAAGUACCCCUAGCCCGCCGCUUACAUCAGGGGAAACUGAGGGCAGAGAGGGUGCAGGACUUGCCCAGGUCCACGGCAACUGGGCAGCAGAGCUGGGCUUCGCUCAGUCUGCGGAGGAGGGACAGAGCAUCUGUCCUCACAGUUCUGUCGGCUGCCGUUUUGUCUUCCUGGUAAGUAAAUAAGCAGAUAAAUAAACAGGCCCUGGGUGAGAUCAUUACAGCAGUGACA
rnacentral:lncRNA from 1 species